GGAAAAGAAAUCAACCGAGAUUCCCCCAGUAGCGGCGAGCGAACGGGGAGCAGCCCAGAGCCUGAAUCAGUGUGUGUGUUAGUGGAAGCGUCUGGAAAGGCGCGCGAUACAGGGUGACAGCCCCGUACACAAAAAUGCACAUGCUGUGAGCUCGAUGAGUAGGGCGGGACACGUGGUAUCCUGUCUGAAUAUGGGGGGACCAUCCUCCAAGGCUAAAUACUCCUGACUGACCGAUAGUGAACCAGUACCGUGAGGGAAAGGCGAAAAGAACCCCGGCGAGGGGAGUGAAAAAGAACCUGAAACCGUGUACGUACAAGCAGUGGGAGCACGCUUAGGCGUGUGACUGCGUACCUUUUGUAUAAUGGGUCAGCGACUUAUAUUCUGUAGCAAGGUUAACCGAAUAGGGGAGCCGAAGGGAAACCGAGUCUUAACUGGGCGUUAAGUUGCAGGGUAUAGACCCGAAACCCGGUGAUCUAGCCAUGGGCAGGUUGAAGGUUGGGUAACACUAACUGGAGGACCGAACCGACUAAUGUUGAAAAAUUAGCGGAUGACUUGUGGCUGGGGGUGAAAGGCCAAUCAAACCGGGAGAUAGCUGGUUCUCCCCGAAAGCUAUUUAGGUAGCGCCUCGUGAAUUCAUCUCCGGGGGUAGAGCACUGUUUCGGCAAGGGGGUCAUCCCGACUUACCAACCCGAUGCAAACUGCGAAUACCGGAGAAUGUUAUCACGGGAGACACACGGCGGGUGCUAACGUCCGUCGUGAAGAGGGAAACAACCCAGACCGCCAGCUAAGGUCCCAAAGUCAUGGUUAAGUGGGAAACGAUGUGGGAAGGCCCAGACAGCCAGGAUGUUGGCUUAGAAGCAGCCAUCAUUUAAAGAAAGCGUAAUAGCUCACUGGUCGAGUCGGCCUGCGCGGAAGAUGUAACGGGGCUAAACCAUGCACCGAAGCUGCGGCAGCGACGCUUAUGCGUUGUUGGGUA
rnacentral:rRNA from 1 species